rnacentral:rRNA from 1 species
GACGAACGCUGGCGGCGUGCCUAAUACAUGCAAGUAGAACGCAGUUGCGAACGGGUGAGUAACGCGUAGGUAACUGCCUCAUAGCGGGGGAUAACUAUUGGAAACGAUAGCUAAUACCGCAUACUGUGAGAUGGACCUGCGUUGUAUUAGCUAGUUGGUGAGGUAAAGGCUCACCAAGGCGAGCAUACAUGGCCGACCUGAGAGGGAGAUCGACCACACGGGGACUGAGUCACGGGCCGGACCCCUGCGGGCUGCAACAGGUGGGAAUCAUCGGCAAUGGACGGAAGUCCCACCAAACAACGCCCCGUGGGUGAAAAAGGUUUUCAGAUCGUAAAGCUCUGUUGUUAGAGAAGCGGUAACUAACCAGAAAGGGACGGCUAACUACGUGCCAGUAGCCGCGGUAAUAC